CAAGAGCUGGGUGUUCCGGGCUGUUGAAGAAAAUGGAGUAAUGGGAUAGAAGCUGCUUUCAACUUCCUGCUGAGGACCCAAGGCCAGGAAAAAAGAAAAUUUUUAUAUCAGAAAUCAGAACAGGCCUGGAGUUAGGGAAUAAAUUAGGAAAGACACAGACUCAAGCAAAGGAAGACACCAGAAGUAGAGGUUGGCCAAAGGACAAAACUACAAAACACCAAUUACAGAUUGAAUCAAAUCAUCAGCUACUGGACAUUACAACAUUCACCAUGGAGAGUAACAAUAAUAUGCAUUUAUCAGAACUUCACUAUGUGCCAGGCACAACAUUUUAUGGAAGAUGAACAGGUACAUAGACAAACAGAUAUGAGUACAUAGCUAGGUAAGUAGGUAGAUAGGUAGCAGGAUUCUCUGUCUCCCUAUUCCCUCUGGUAAGAAGAUAAAAGCUAAUGACUUCAAAAGCAUAACUGUGCAUUCAAUAUUCAUAGAAAAGGUCUAUGUGUGGUAGGAAAGAGACACA
rnacentral:lncRNA from 1 species